rnacentral:tRNA from 1 species
GCACCCGUAGCUCAGCCGGAAGAGCAGGGGACUUUUAAUCCUCGGGUCGUGGGUUCGAACCCCACCGGGUGCACCC